rnacentral:sRNA from 1 species
AAGUUCGUGGAUGACCUGUUCCAGGUGAUUCUCAGCACCAGCCGCCCCGUGCCGCUCGCUGUGAAGUACUUCUUUGACUUGCUGGAUGAGCAGGCCCAGCAGCAUGGCAUCUCCGACCAGGACACCAUCCACAUCUGGAAGACCAACAGCUUGCCUCUGAGGUUCUGGAUCAAUAUAAUAAAAAACCCGCAGUUUGUGUUCGACGUGCAAACAUCUGAUAACAUGGAUGCGGUGCUCCUUGUCAUUGCACAGACCUUCAUGGACGCCUGCACCCUGGCCGACCACAAGCUGGGCCGGGACUCCCCGAUCAACAAACUUCUGUAUGCACGGGACAUUCCCCGGUACAAGCGGAUGGUGGAAAGGUACU